rnacentral:tRNA from 1 species
GCCGGUGUAGCUCAACUGGCAGAGCAGUAGUAUCGUAAACUACAGGCUGCAGGUUCAACUCCUGUCACCGGCUCCA